rnacentral:rRNA from 1 species
UACGUAGGGGGCAAGCGUUAUCCAGAUUUACUGGGCGUAAAGCGCGUGUAGGCGGCUGGUUAGGCGUGAUGUGAAAUCUUCCGGCUCAACCGGAAAACUGCAUUGCGAACCGGCCUGGCUAGAGUGCAGGAGAGGGAAGCGGAAUUCCAGGUGUAGCGGUGAAAUGCGUAGAUAUCGGGAAGAACCCCAGUGGCGAAGGCGGCUUUCUGGGGUGUUACUGACGCUGAGGCGCGAAAGCGUGGGGAGCGAACCGG